rnacentral:rRNA from 1 species
UACGUAGGGUGCGAGCGUUAAUCGGAAUUACUGGGCGUAAAGCGUGCGCAGGCGGUUUUGUAAGACAGCUGUGAAAUCCCCGGGCUCAACCUGGGAACUGCGGUUGUGACUGCAAGACUGGAGUGUGGCAGAGGGGGGUGGAAUUCCGCGUGUAGCGAUGAAAUGCGUAGAGAUGUGGAGGAACACCGAUGGCGAAGGCAGCCCCCUGGGUCAACACUGACGCUCAUGCACGAAAGCGUGGGGAGCAAACAGG